rnacentral:tRNA from 2 species
GGAGAUGUAGCUCAAGUGGUAGAGCAAUGGUCUCAUAAGCCAUUAGAUCCGAUUUCGAGUAUCGGUGUCUCCA